AUCGCUUCUGGCCUUUGGUGAGAUCGAGUGUAGUGUUUUGUUCUUAUCAGUUUAAUACUGCUACUUCACCUAUCCCGGGACAAUCUAUUAAAUGGAUUUUGGGAGCAGGGAGUUGGAAUAGGAGCCUUGUUCCAUCCAUGUCACACUCGACCUGGUAUUCAGAAUGUCCAAGAACAGUGCACCUUCU
rnacentral:snRNA from 1 species